rnacentral:rRNA from 1 species
AACGAACGCUGGCGGCAGGCCUAACACAUGCAAGUCGAACGAACCUUCGGGUUAGUGGCGCACGGGUGCGUAACGCGUGGGAAUAUACCCUUGAGUAAGGAAUAACGUAGAGAAAUUUGCGCUAAUACCUUAUAAUGACUUCGGUCCAAAGAUUUAUCGCUCAAGGAUUAGCCCGCGUCAGAUUAGAUAGUUGGUGAGGUAACGGCUCACCAAGUCGACGAUCUGUAGGGGGUCUGAGAGGAUGAUCCCCCACACUGGUACUGAGACACGGACCAGACUCCUACGGGAGGCAGCAGUGAGGAAUAUUGGACAAUGGGCGAAAGCCUGAUCCAGCCAUGCCGCGUGAGUGAAGAAGGCCUUAGGGUUGUAAAGCUCUUUCAAUUGCGAAGAUAAUGACGGUAACAAUAGAAGAAGCUCCGGCUAAAUUCGUGCCAGCAGCCGCGGUAA